AUUGAACGCUGGCGGCAGGCCUAACACAUGCAAGUCGAACGAGUGGCGGACGGGUGAGUAAUGUCUGGGAAACUGCCUGAUGGGGGGGGAUAACUACUGGAAACGGUAGCUAAUACCGCAUACCAUCAGAUGUGCCCAGAUGGGAUUAGCUAGUAGGUGGGGUAACGGCUCACAAAGUCGACGAUCCCUAGCUGGUCUGAGAGGAUGAACAUCCACACGGGAACUGCGACACGGUCCAGACGCCUACGGGAGGAAGCAGUGGGGAAGAUUGCACAAUGGGCGCAAGCCUGAUGCAGCCAGGCAGCGUGUAUGAAGAAGGCCUUCGGGUUGGAAAGUACUUUCAGCGAGGAGGCGUUACUCGCAGAAGAAGCACCGGCUAACUCCGUGCCAGCAGCCGCGGUAAUAC
rnacentral:rRNA from 1 species